rnacentral:rRNA from 1 species
UACGGAGGGUGCAAGCGUUAUCCGGAUUCACUGGGUUUAAAGGGUGCGUAGGCGGAUAAGUAAGUCAGUGGUGAAAUCUCCGAGCUUAACUCGGAAACUGCCGUUGAUACUAUUGUCUUGAAUAUUGUGGAGGUAAGCGGAAUAUGUCAUGUAGCGGUGAAAUGCUUAGAUAUGACAUAGAACACCAAUUGCGAAGGCAGCUUACUACACAAUGAUUGACGCUGAGGCACGAAAGCGUGGGAUCAAACAGG